rnacentral:tRNA from 1 species
GCCUGGAUAGCUCAGCUGGUUUGGGCGUGGUCCUGAUAGUGCCAAGGUUGCAGGUUCGAUCCCCCCAUAGGACA